GGGAAUGUGGCUUAGUGGUAGAGUGCUUGCCUAGCAUGCAUGAAGCACUGGGUUCCAAUUCCUCAGUACCA
rnacentral:tRNA from 1 species